CAAGCGAUAGGUAAGGGCAUUUGGUGAAUGCCUUGGCAAUCAGAGGCGAAGAAGGACGUGAUACACUGCGAAAAGCCGUGGGGAGUUGUGAAUAAGCAUUGAUCCGCGGAUGUCCGAAUGGGGAAACCCACAGAGCAAUCUGUAUCUUAAAAUGAAUACAUAGUUUUAAGAGGCGAACGCAGGGAACUGAAACAUCUAAGUACCUGUAGGAAAGGAAAUCAACCGAGACUCCGAAAGUAGUGGCGAGCGAAAUCGGACCAGCCGAUGGAUAAAUCAUUAAGAAUCAGAACAGCGUGGAAAAGCUGACCGUAGAGGGUGAUAGUCCCGUACGAGUAGAAAGAUGAUUUAUUCUUGAGUAGGGCGGAGCACGAGAAAUUCUGUCUGAAAAUGGGGAGACCACUCUCCAAGGCUAAGUACUACUGAUUGACCGAUAGUGAACAAGUACCGUGAGGGAAAGGUGAAAAGCACCCCGAUAAGGGGAGUGAAAAAGAACCUGAAACCGAAUGCUUACAAGCAGUUGGAGGGGCUUUGAGCCCUGACAGCGUACCUUUUGUAUAAUGGGUCAGCGAGUUAGUUUAUGUAGCAAGCUUAAGCCGAUAGGUGUAGGCGCAGCGAAAGCGAGUGUUAAUAGCGCGAUAAGUUACAUGAAUUAGACCCGAAACCGGGUGAUCUAGCCAUGAACAGGCUGAAGGUUGGGUAACACCAACUGGAGGGCCGAACCCACUUCUGUUGAAAAAGAAGGGGAUGAUUUGUGGCUAGGGGUGAAAGGCCAAUCAAACCCGGAAAUAGCUGGUUCUCCGCGAAAACUAUUUAGGUAGUGCGGUGAGCGGACACCUUGAGGGGUAGAGCACUGGAAGAACUAGGGGGGAGCGAUCCUUACCAAAUUUUACCAAACUCCGAAUACUCAAGAGUGAUACUCACCAGACAGACAUUAGGUGCUAAGGUCUAGUGUCGAGAGGGAAAGAGCCCAGACCGUCAAUUAAGGUCCCCAAAUUAUGGCUAAGUGGUAAAGGAAGUGAAUUGUCCAAAACAGUCAGGAGGUUGGCUUAGAAGCAGCCAUCCUUUAAAGAAAGCGUAAUAGCUCACUGAUCUAAACAAGACGAUUUGCGCCGAAGAUGUAACGGGGCUAAAGCCAUAUACCGAAAUUACGGAUUUGCACUUUUGUGCAAGUGGUAGCGGAGCGUUCUGUAGGCCUGCGAAGGUGAACCGUAAGGUUUGCUGGAGGUAUCAGAAGUGAGAAUGCUGACAUGAGUAGCGAAAAGAAGAGUGAGAGACUCUUCCGCUGAAAGUCCAAGGUUUCCUGCGUAAAGCUAAUCUGCGCAGGGUUAGUCGGCCCCUAAGGCGAGGCAGAGAUGCGUAGCUGAUGGGAAUCAGGUUAAUAUUCCUGAACCAACUAGGAAGUGACGGAUUGAGUAAAUUGUAAAUGAUUAUUGGAUUUUGUUUGCAGUGAAUCAGUCCCAGGAAAUAGCCCUAGUAUAGACCGUACCCUAAACCGACACAGGUGGACAGGUAGAGUAUACCAAAGCGCUUGAGAGAACUAUGUUGAAGGAACUAGGCAAAUUACUUGCGUAACUUCGGGAUAAGCAAGCCCCAUGGUAAGGCAACUUAUUGUGGGGGGCACAAACUAGGGGGUAGCGACUGUUUACUAAAAACACAGGACUCUGCUAAAUUGAAAGAUGAAGUAUAGGGUCUGACGCCUGCCCGGUGCUGGAAGGUUAAGGAGAGAUGUGCAAGCAUUGAACUGAAGCCCCAGUAAACGGCGGCCGUAACUAUAACGGUCCUAAGGUAGCGAAAUUCCUUGUCGGGUAAGUUCCGACC
rnacentral:rRNA from 1 species